AAAUAAGUAAGCUAAAAAAAGCUUUUAGGUUCAUACCCUAAAUAUAGAAAUUACUUGGAUCUCUUAUUUA
rnacentral:tRNA from 1 species